UUAAGUUCAGCGGGUAGUCCUACCUGAUUUGAGGUCAAGAUGGUCAAUACAUAUGAGGUUUAGAAAGCAGCAUCAAGCAGAUGUCCAGGAUGUAGAUAAUUAUCACACCUGUAGACAGUUCCACCAAGGUACUUGCUAAUAAAUUUCAGGGGAGCAGACUACAAAAAAGAGCCCACAACAGUUUCCCCCCCAAAUCCAAG
rnacentral:misc_RNA from 1 species